AUGCACACUCACACACACGCACACACGCACACUCACACACAGACACGCACACAGACACACAGACACGCACACACACGCACGCAGACACACACGCACACUCACACAGACACACACACGUGCACACAGACACACGCACACACACAGACACACGCACACACAGACAUGCACACACACGCACAGACACACACACACUCACACAGACACACACACGCGCACAGACACACGCAUACACACAGACACACACAGACACACGCGCAUACACACACACACACGCACACGCACACACACAGACACACGCGCACACAGACACACGCACACACAGACACACGCACACACAGACACACGCACACACAGACACACGCACACAGACACACGCACACACAGACAUGCACACACACGCACAGACACACACGCACACUCACACAGACACACACACGCGCACACAGACACACGCAUACACACAGACACACACACAGACACACGCGCACACACAGACACACACAGACACACACACGCACACACACAGACACACGCACACACACAGACACGCACACGCACACACACAGACACACGCGCACACAGACACACGCACACACAUACACACGCACACACACAGACACACGCACACACACAGACAUGCACACACAGACACACACGCACACUCACAGACACACACACGCACAGACACACGCGCACACACACACACACACACAGACACACGCGCACACACAGACACACACACAGACACGCACGCACACACGCACACAGACACACAUGCACACACACACGCACACAGACACACGCACACACAGACACACAGACACGUGCACACACGCGCACACAGACACACGCACACACACACGCACACAGACACACAUGCACACAGACACACGCACACACAGACACACGCGCACACACAGACACACACAGACACGUGCACACACACGCACACACACCCGCACACACACACGCACACUCACACAGACACACACGCGCACACAGACACGCACACACACACAGACACGCACACACACGCAUGCACAUUCACACUCCUUGAUGAGAUUCACAGGCAGCCAGCUCAGACCCUGGGCCACUGAGCCCAGAAGGAAGGGGGUGCUUCUCAGGGCGCCCACCACAAGGGUCCAGAGGAUGGCCUGGAGUCCCCUGGGGAGGGGGCCAGUGUGGGGGCCACCAGCCAGAGAAGGUCCAGACAAGCUGCUGAAGGGCAGCCGGAACUUGGGUCAAGAGUUUCCGUCUAACCCAACCAGCCGAAGCCCCCACCCUGUCUCUGCCUUCCAAGGAGAGCUCCCUAACGGCCGGGCCAAACCAUUCCACUUGUCCUUCCAAGCAUCCAUCAGGUGCCGGGAUGCCACCACGACGUGGCCCGUGCCCUCAACGGGCUUCCUGGCUGGCAUCCCAUAG
rnacentral:lncRNA from 1 species